rnacentral:rRNA from 1 species
GUGGAAACGCACGCUAAUACCGCAUACGCCCUACGGGGGAAAGGAGGGGAUCUUCGGACCUUUCGCUAAUAGAUGAGCCUGCGUUGGAUUAGCUAGUUGGUAGGGUAAAGGCCUACCAAGGCGACGAUCCAUAGCUGUUCUGAGAGGAAGAUCAGCCACACUGGGACUGAGACACGGCCCAGACUCCUACGGGAGGCAGCAGUGGGGAAUAUUGGACAAUGGGCGAAAGCCUGAUCCAGCAAUACCGCGUGUGUGAAGAAGGCCUUAGGGUUGUAAAGCACUUUCAAUGGGGAGGAAAAAGAGUAAGUUAAUACCUUGCUUAUUGACAUUACCUAUAGAAGAAGCACCGGCUAACUCCGUGCCAGCAGCCGCGGUAAUACGGAGGGUGCGAGCGUUAAUCGGAAUUACUGGGCGUAAAGAGUGCGUAGGCGGCUCGUUAAGUCAGAUGUGAAAGCCCUGGGCUCAACCUGGGAACUGCAUUUGAAACUGGCGAGCUAGAGUUGAGUAGAGGUAAGUGGAAUUUCAGGUGUAGCGGUGAAAUGCGUAGAUAUCUGAAGGAACACCAGUGGCGAAGGCGACUUACUGGACUCAAACCGACGCUGAGGUACGAACGCCUGGGUAGCAAACAGGAUUAGAUACCCUGGCAGUCC